rnacentral:rRNA from 1 species
CCGCAUAAGAUUGUAGCUUCGCAUGGAGCAGCAAUCAAAGGAGCAAUCCGCUGAAAGAUGGACUCGCGUCCGAUUAGAUAGUUGGCGGGGUAACGGCCCACCAAGUCGACGAUCGGUAGCCGGACUGAGAGGUUGAUCGGCCACAUUGGGACUGAGACACGGCCCAGGCUCCUACGGGAGGCAGCAGUGAGGGAUAUUGGGCAAUGGGGGAAACCCUGACCCAGCAACGCCGCGUGAGGGAUGACGGUUUUCGGAUUGUAAACCUCUGUCCUCUGUGAAGAUAGUGACGGUAGCAGAGGAGGAAGCUCCGGCUAACUACGUGCCAGCAGCCGCGGUAAUACGUAGGGAGCAAGCGUUGUCCGGAUUUACUGGGUGUAAAGGGUGCGUAGGCGGAUUGGCAAGUCAGAAGUGAAAUCCAUGGGCUUAACCCAUGAACUGCUUUUGAAACUGUUAGUCUUGAGUGAAGUAGAGGUAGGCGGAAUUCCCGGUGUAGCGGUGAAAUGCGUAGAGAUCGGGAGGAACACCAGUGGCGAAGGCGGCCUACUGGGCUUUAACUGACGCUGAGGCACGAAAGUGUGGGUAGCAAACAAGAGUAGAUACCCUGGUAGUCCACACUGUAAACGAUGAUUAUAGGGUGUGGGGGGUCUAACCCCCUCCGUGCCGGAGUUAACACAAUAAGUAAUCCACCUGGGGAGUACGACCGCAAGGUUGAAACUCAAAGGAAUUGACGGGGGCCCGCACAAGCAGUGGAGUAUGUGGUUUAAUUUGACGCAACGCGAAGAACCUUACCAGGUCUUGACAUCCAACUAACGAAGCAGAGAUGCAUUAGGUGCCCUUCGGGGAAAGAUGAGACAGGUGGUGCAUGGUUGUCGUCAGCUCGUGUCGUGAGAUGUUGGGUUAAGUCCCGCAACGAGCGCAACCCUUGUGAUUAGUUGCUACGCAAGAGCACUCUAAUCAGACUGCCGUUGACAAAACGGAGGAAGGUGGGGAGGACGUCAAAUCAUCAUGCCCUUUAUGACCUGGGCUACACACGUACUACAAUGGUCGUUAACAGAGGGAAGCAAUACCGCGAGGUGGAGCAAAACCCUAAAAACGGUCUCAGUUCAGAUUGUAGGCUGCAACUCGCCUACAUGAAGUUGGAAUUGCUAGUAAUCGCGGAUCAGCAUGCCGCGGUGAAUAAAAGGCCGGGCCUUGCACA